rnacentral:rRNA from 1 species
UACGUAGGGUGCGAGCGUUAAUCGGAAUUACUGGGCGUAAAGCGUGCGCAGGCGGCUUCGCAAGUCAGACGUGAAAUCCCCGGGCUUAACCUGGGAAUGGCGUUUGAAACUACGGAGCUGGAGUGUGGCAGAGGGAGGUAGAAUUCCACGUGUAGCGGUGAAAUGCGUAGAGAUGCGGAGGAACACCGAUGGCGAAGGCAACCCCCUGGGCUGACACUGACGCUCAGGCACGAAAGCGUGGGGAGCAAACAGG